rnacentral:rRNA from 1 species
ACGGGUGAGUAACACGUAGGCAACCUGCCGACAGGAUGGGGACAACAUUCCGAAAGGAAUGCUAAUACCGAAUGAAGUCAGAGAAGGGCAUCCUUUUCUGAUGAAAGAUGGCCUCUUUUUAUGCUAUCACCUGUUGAUGGGCCUGCGUCUGAUUAGCUAGUUGGUGAGGUAACGGCUCACCUAGGCGACGAUCAGUAGCCGGUCUGAGAGGAUGAACGGCCACAUUGGGACUGAGACACGGCCCAGACUCC